rnacentral:rRNA from 1 species
UACGGAGGGUGCAAGCGUUAUCCGGAUUCACUGGGUUUAAAGGGUGCGUAGGUGGGCAGGUAAGUCAGUGGUGAAAUCUUCAAGCUUAACUUGGAAACUGCCAUUGAUACUAUUUGUCUUGAAUAUCCUGGAGGUAAGCGGAAUAUGUCAUGUAGCGGUGAAAUGCUUAGAUAUGACAUAGAACACCCAUUGCGAAGGCAGCUUACUACGGGAUUAUUGACACUGAGGCACGAAAGCGUGGGGAUCAAACAGG